AACGUGGUGAGCAUCUGGUCCCACUCACAAAAACAGUUUCACCUUUGACCUCUCAGAUUAAAUUUUCUCUGCUUCUUGUUCAUUUUGGGGCAGGAAUCAGGGGUUAYUGAUUUUUCCAAAGCAGUCACUGGUGUCAUCUGUGCUUUCCUCUCCAUACAUGGAGUGCCAGGCAAGCAGCUGAAUGUAAAGGAAAACACUCAGACACAUUCCUCUGUUACCGACACACACGAUUUGAUCUGGAAUGAAUCUGAACAACUUCAACUUUGGAUCAACGAUCUGUGACAAUCUGGAGACAACACAACUCCCUGUG